AAGCAAAUUACCUGUGUCUACAUUGCUUAAUGACGGGGGCGCUAACAGGACCUUUGCCGCCUGCCAGAGCAGAAACUGACCCAUCCGGGAGGCAAUUGGAUGGCCCUGGGCUUGCCACUUGACUGAAGCCAUCCAUCAGAGAAAAGGACCUGAUCUCACCAAUACAGUGAAGAGUGAGAAUUUUGAACCCCAAAACUGGGUGGGACCCCCGUUCAGCCACUCAUUGGAUACACACACGGGUGCUUUGCUUUUCUGAGGCCUGGAUUCCUGGGAACUGUGUCUCUGGAGAUUUGGGGAGCGUGAGCAGAGAUCCUCUAAGAGAAGGCACCAGACUCAGCCCAGGAUGUCGCUCAGAAGAGACAGACUGGCCUUGCCUGACCUU